GUCUACGGCCAUACCACCCUGAACGCGCCCGAUCUCGUCUGAUCUCGGAAGCUAAGCAGGGUUGGGCCUGGUUAGUACUUGGAUGGGAGUUAGACGAUAGAGUCAGUACUGGGCC
rnacentral:rRNA from 1 species